rnacentral:rRNA from 1 species
AUUGAAUGCUGGCGGCAGGCUUAACACAUGCAAGUCGAGCGGGGUGAUGGUGCUUGCGCUAUCACUUAGCGGCGGACGGGUGAGUAAUGCUUAGGAAUCUGCCUAUUAGUGGGGGACAACAUCUCGAAAGGGAUGCUAAUACCGCAUACGUCCUACGGGAGAAAGCAGGGGAUCACUUGUGACCUUGCGCUAAUAGAUGAGCCUAAGUCGGAUUAGCUAGUUGGUGGGGUAAAGGCCUACCAAGGCGACGAUCUGUAGCGGGUCUGAGAGGAUGAUCCGCCACACUGGGACUGAGACACUGACCAGACUCCUAUGGGAGGCAGCAGUGGGGAAUAUUGGACGAUGGGGGGAACCCUGAUCCAGCCAUGCCGCGUGUGUGAAGAAGGCCUUAUGGUUGUAAAGCACUUUAAGCGAGGAGGAGGCUCUUUUGGUUAAUACCCAAGAUGAGUGGACGUUACUCGCAGAAUAAGCACCGGCUAACUCUGUGCCAGCCGCCGCAGUAA